rnacentral:rRNA from 2 species
UUUGAAUAAGUAUAAUAAAUGAUGAUUAUUAUAUUGAAUAGUCCAGUCUAAUCUCCGUGCCAGCAGUCGCGGUAAUACGGAAUCGGGCAACCCAUCGGAGUUUUGAAUAGGUGUACAGGGUACGUAGCUUGAUUAAUAUUAAUCUAGAGUCAUAUGGAAGUAAAACCAACACUUAGAGGAGGGCUAAUAUUCUUUGAUACUAAGGGGUGUACUAAAGGCGUAAGCAUUUUACUAAAUAUUGACUGACUGUAAGGUACGAAAGCAAGAGCAUGGAACCGGAUUCGAUACCCGGAUACUUCUUGCUGUAAACGAUGCAAACUAUGAGAUCAGUGUAUUGGUUUUCGUUGCUAACGCUAAAGUUUGCCACCUGCAUAGUACAGUCGAAAGACCGAAACGUCAAUGAUUAGACCGUUCUUAGGCACAUGGAGUGAAGCAUGCCGUUUAAUCCGAUAGCCCGCGUAAAAUCUUACCACUUCUUGCAUCUUAGACAGGUGUUGCAUGGCUGUCGUCAGUUAGUGUUCGUGAGACCUAUGGUUGAUUCCGUAUAACUAACGCAAUCCUCACUAUGAAUUUAUA